rnacentral:rRNA from 1 species
CGCAGAUAUCAGGAGGAACACCGGUGGCGAAGGCGGGUCUCUGGGCCGAUACUGACGCUGAGGAGCGAAAGCGUGGGGAGCGAACAGGAUUAGAUACCCUGGUAGUCCACGCUGUAAACGUUGGGCGCUAGGUGUGGGGGGCCUCUCCGGUUCUCUGUGCCGCAGCUAACGCAUUAAGCGCCCCGCCUGGGGAGUACGGCCGCAAGGCUAAAACUCAAAGGAAUUGACGGGGGCCCGCACAAGCGGCGGAGCAUGCGGAUUAAUUCGAUGCAACGCGAAGAACCUUACCUGGGUUUGACAUGGGCGCUAAA